UACGUAGGGAGCGAGCGUUGUCCGGAUUUAUUGGGCGUAAAGAGCGUGUAGGCGGCCAGGUAGGUCCGUUGUGAAAACUCGAGGCUCAACCUCGAGACGUCGAUGGAAACCAUUUGGCUAGAGUCCGGAAGAGGAGAGUGGAAUUCCUGGUGUAGCGGUGAAAUGCGCAGAUAUCGGGAAGAACACCCGUGGCGAAGGCGGCUCUCUGGGAAGGUACUGACGCUGAGACGCGAAAGCGUGGGGAGCGAACAGG
rnacentral:rRNA from 1 species